rnacentral:misc_RNA from 1 species
GUCCUGGCCGCUCGAACAGCACCAGCGCCGCGGGCGGCGGCGCAUCGGUGAGCGCGACCAGAGCCGCGAUCGACGCCGGUUUCGCUUCAUCCUGAUGCCGCAGCCAGAUCGAAAAGUUCGGCUGCUGGCUCUGGCUGAACGGAGGNGCUGCCUCCAGCGAAACGUCCCUCGAAGUGCUGGAUGAAGUUCAAUCCGGGAAUCUUGCGGAAGAACGGC